GAAAGCAGGCGAGGUGAUCGCGAUCGGGAGGCUGAUGGUCUUCGGAACGGAAGCCUGCCUGGUUGAGGAAAGUCCGGGCUCCCCAAUGGCCAGGCUUGCUGGGUAACGCCCAGUGCGGGUGACCGUGAGGAGAGUGCCACAGAAACACACCGCCGAUGGCCCCGGUUCCGCUUCGGUGGAGCAGAGCACAGGCAAGGGUGCAAAGGUGCGGUAAGAGCGCACCAGCAGCAUCGAGAGGUGCUGGCUCGGUAAACCCCGGCCGGGAGCAAGGCCCAGGGACAACGGUUGGCCAUGGCACCAGUCCCGCCCCAAGCGCGCCGCUCGAGGCCGCCGGCAACGGCGGUCCCAGACAGAUGAUCAUCCCCGCCGCAGCGUCUCCGGGCGCCGGCGGAGAACAGAACCCGGCUUACGUCCUGCUUUCACCC
rnacentral:RNase_P_RNA from 2 species